rnacentral:lncRNA from 1 species
AUGCGAGCUUGCGGCCGCCCUAAGAGUGCGCGCGACGAGACGGCAGCAUCUUCCCCCGCUUGGGAGGCUGGCGCUCGCGACAAGACGAAAGAACACUGUUCCCGAUUCACUGCUCAGGUGCUUAUUCUUCAGAGGAAGAGCAGCAACUGUGCAGGAAGUGAGUCCGGGUGUUCCAAUAAGCUGUCUCCAGUCACACGACUAUCCAGCAUGACUUCCAGCAUGUUUUCUUCUCCUAAAAUGAACCGCCUGCUAGCGUUCAGCCGCUUCCCAUUCUCCCUUUGCCAGCAGUCUUUAAUCUACUUCCAGUGCUUACAGAUGACUGUGAAAGUUUUAUACAUGUAGGAACAUAUGUAUACGUUCUUUUGUGACCGACUCCUUUCACUUUGUAUAUUUUCAAGGUUUAUCUAUUUUGUAGUAUUGUGCCAGCAC